GAAGAGGGAGUUACUCUCCAUCCUCCCCUUGAACAAUUGCCGGUGAUCGAUCACGGGAGGAGACUGGUUGGCGGAUGCUACUUUGUUAUUGCUUCGUCGCUGGAGCAGGAGAGAGAAAGAGAAGUGCAUCGACGUCGGAUACGUCCAGAAGGGAUGGGAUUUGGUGGUGGUGUUGUGGAGCGAGCCGCAGCGGGAACGGCAUGAGGAGACUCGGCAGAGGUUGCUGAAGAGGAGAAAUCGACGAUAGUUGAUGAUGAGAAGAGAGAGAAAGAUCGACGGAAGAGGAUUGGGAACAAAUAAGCGGAGAUAAGUGGCGG
rnacentral:lncRNA from 1 species